rnacentral:misc_RNA from 1 species
GCAUUUCCCAAAUCGGGGGUCAAGUGUGAGACCCCGAAGUCUCGACGAAGACCUUACUGUGUCUUCCAUCAGGAUGUUAAUGUCCUGACCUCGAGUACACGUCCGAGGAAGACGAUCCCACCUACAGGCUUUGAGGAGUUCCUUGAAGGAGGCUGCGGCAGUGUUGAUACAAUAAACAAAACAACAGAAGGUAGAGAAACACGUCAACAGUCCCUCCCGUGACGACACAAGAUGCUGCACCGGGCGUUAGCAAUGACGUGCCUCGCCUUUCUGGCCUCGACGACCACAGCAGACGCGACGAUGGACGUGAGCUACGAGGUGAAGGAGGACCUGCUGGACUUGGACAUAGCUCUGGGGCUGGACACGGGCGUGGGCGUGAGGUGUGUGGAGGGGUUACCGCGCGGGGAGGACGGCCUGGAUUACUGUCGACCCCUCUCACCCCAGGACAGACUCCGCAUGAACAAGACCGCCACCAAUUUGUUGGUGUUGACGGUGAAGCGGCCUGGCAGUGAUGGCUUCAAGCGCUUCCUCAGAUCCACCAAAGUCUACGGAUACAAAGUUAAGGUCCUGGGAGAAGACCAGAAGGAGGUAGUGGAUGAGAAGACACACCUCCAGCUGCUGAGGGACACAUUUGACUCCCUUAGCCAAGAUGAGGACAGGGUCGUAUUGUAUACUGAGAGCGAGGAUGCCUUGUUUUCGGGUGGACCAGUUCGAGUGAUUGAGGAGUUCGAAGCUUCGGAUGCUGACGUUCUGAUCUCCGCCGAUGGGUUCUGUUGGCCAGAUAGAACCAUGGAGCCUAACUUCCCGAAGGUGGACCGAGGCAAGAGGUUCCUUAAUUCUGGCGGUUUUGUGGGUCGUGUGGGAACCAUUCACAAGCUUCUGUCACAGUCCUCAGAGGAGGCAUCACUACAGCUGCUGCUCACACUUGCCUACGUAAAGGACGCCACCAGGAACAAGUACAACCUCAAGCUGGACCACCUCUCUACCCUCUUCCAGAACCUGAAUGGUGCCACAGGUGACGUGGAGCUGCGGUUUGCAGGGAAGGAAGCCUACCUACAGAACACUCUGUACAACACUGUGCCUGUAGUGAUUCGGGGUAAUGGUCACACCAACCUCGUUCUCCACACUCUGGGGUCCUACCUGGCUCGUUCCUGGAAUCCUGAGGAUGGGUGCAGGUCCUGCUGGGACGACAUGCUCUCAUUAGAGGACAAGAAGGAGGAGGAACUGCCCAAGGUGACCUUGGCUGUGUUUGUUGAGAAAGCCACACCUUUCAUGGAGGAGUUCCUCGAUAAGAUCAACAGCUUGUUAUACCCCACCUCCAGGAUAGAUCUCUUUGUCCACAAUGUAGAAGAAUACCAUGAAGAGAUGAUCAAUGGCUGGAUAGAGGUAGUCGGGGAGGAGUUUGCCUCGGUCAAGUACAUCAAGCGGGAGGAGAAAGUGAAGGAAUGGCACGCCCGAAACACCGCCGUCGACUACUGUAUAGAGAGAGGCUGUGCUUACCUCUUAAUGGUCGACUCUGAGGCUCACCUGGACAAUCCCUUCAUAGUUAAACUCCUCAUUGAACAGAACAGGGAGGUAGUGGCACCUAUGAUGAUUCGACCCUAUAAGGCUUGGAGUAACUUCUGGGGCGCCAUCACUAACGACGGCUUCUACGCUCGGUCUAUGGACUACAUGGAGAUUGUCCAGAGUCAGAGAAGAGGGUUGUGGAAUGUGCCAUUCAUCAGUGGCUGCUACCUGCUGCGACGCUCACUGUUGGAUGACCCAGAUAAGAGACCUUCCUUCAUCAAGAACCUCCUUGACCCUGACAUGGCCCUCUGUGAGAACCUCAGAGAGAAGGGUGUCUUCAUGCACGUCAGUAAUCGUGUGGACUUCGGUCAUCUGGUCAACGCUGACAAGUUCGACACCUCCCAUAUGAAUAAUGAACUGUGGCAGGUUAUUGAGAAUCGUUGGGACUGGGAACACCGCUACCUCCACCCCAACUACUCUCAUGCCGUGGCUGAGAACACCACUGUGGAGAUGCCCUGCCCUGAUGUAUACUGGUUCCCACUCUUCAAGGAACGCUUUGCCAAGGAGAUGAUUGAAACCUUUGAAAACUUUGGGGUCUGGUCUGACGGCACAAAUAAUGACCCACGGCUUGAGGGCGGGUAUGAAUCGGUACCCACCAUAGAUAUCCACAUGAAGCAGGUGGGUAUGGAGCAGGAGUGGCUGGACAUCCUGCGGGUAUACAUACAGCCUAUACAGCUCAAGGUCUUCGAGGGUUACAACAACGACGCAGGACCCCCGCGAGCACUCAUGAACUUUAUGGUGCGCUACAAGCCUGAUGAACAGCCUCUCCUCAAACCUCACCACGACACCUCCACCUACACCAUCAACGUUGCACUCAACAAACCCGGAGUUGACUAUGAGGGUGGCGGCUGUCGAUUUGUGAGGUACGACUGCUCUGUCACGGAUUCUCGGGUGGGCUGGGUGUUGAUGCACCCUGGACGACUCACUCAUCUACACGAGGGCCUCAGAACUACAGCAGGAACAAGAUAUAUCAUCGUUUCAUUUGUUGAUCCUUAAACGUUCUGUAGUUUAUACACUUGUUCAAAGACAAGUUCAGCACAAACAUUACUUUAGCAGAUGAAUAGUAAAUAUAUUUAUAAGGUUAUAUUUAUUGCAUCUGUUUUCUCUUGCUCUUAUUGCUAUAAACAGUAGACUCUACCAUCUGCAGAGGCUGGGGGAAGAGGCCUCACAUACUGGUUAUUUUAGACAGUUAACGCUGUGAUGUGGUUGACGAGAAACACAAAUAAAGUGACAUUUAAUAUAUUUAAUAAUAUUGUACUAUAAUACCCGAAUAAUAUUGUACUAUAAUACCCAUCCUCCUCCAAAAGUAACCACGCCAUACAGAUGCCGUGGCAACACAAAAAAAAGUUAACCAACCAAACAAAAACUUACGAUCUUCCUCAUUCCUAAACUUCAAGAAAUUCUUAUUUUAUCUACCAGCAUUAGGUCACCCACAAGCGCUCUUUAGUAACUGACAUCCUUAGUCCUACAUUCUUUUUGACCGUAAUCUGGUACAUGGUAACAAUUCACAUCAGUGUGAGAAUCUUAAGUGGUCCUUUCGUUGGUGCAGAGUCCGGAGGUAAUAUUGUACAGUACUACACUUGUUCCCGCCCUCCUUCACAUACUUCUCUCCUGUUUAAUAAGCAACAUGUUUUCUUUCCUUUACUUUCAUCCUCAAUAACGAAAACACCACCACCGAUCAUUUGGAAACCAUGGUACUCACUUGACUGUAUAAAUGAUAGUAGUUGGUACAACACUUGUAUUGUACAGUAAUUUAAUAUUUGCAAGUUCGAAUCUCAGUCAGAGAGGACUAGUUUCCCUCAUACACUCACCAAUAAGUAAUGUACGCUAUCAGGCUCUCUAUGAUCUCAAAAGAACACUUAGGUGGACUAGCAUCUACCAAGAGAUUACUCAACUCCCUAGUUAUUGAAAGCAGAGCCAGGUCAGUACUGUGAAGGUAUCUGCCUGGCCACUGCACCACAAGAGAGGGAUUUAUAGAGUAUGAAUGUUGUAAAAUAUGGUUAUUAAAUCUCCAGUAUAGAAUCCUACUGUUGGCUGGACAUGCACUACUGUACUUGCCAUACGAGACACUGAAGAAGUUGGACCAACACUUCUAAUCUUUAAAUGGCCAAAACAAUUUAUCUUUAUCAACUUUUAGUAUUUAAUAUUGAUUAAUACAGAUAGUAGUCACCCUGGGACGGUGGACAGUACUGGGUUGACCAAAAUACACGACUCGUAUAUAGCACAGUACAAUAUGCCCUAAGUUAUAGAGCAGAUAGUAGAGUUUAUUGGGAUUUCUUGGUAAAUUUUAUUUUUUUAUAUAUGCCAAACAAUAAACAAUUCUAAUAUUUUAAUCUUUGGCACAACAGAGGUUAUCAAUUUUAUAUUGUUCCUUAUUUUAUGUGAUAAAAUAUUUAUAAUAAAACUUAAAAUAUUUAA